CAUUUAUUGAGUACAAGUGUCAGCCCCCCAGGGGGGGGGGGGGAGGGGUGCAGCCACCCUAGCUGUUCAGCUAAACUCAAUCUUCUCUGCAAAAACGGACCCAAGAGAAAAUCCGGAAAAAAACCCUGAGCCUUAUUUCAUGAGUUCUGGCUAUGAAUAACUGGACUUCCAGGCAGAAUGGAAAUAACAUUGCUAAUUUUAAGAUUUGAUAAUUAUUAUAGAUUAGAGUCCGUACUCAGCUUCAUGCCAGACUGGACCAGACAUUAGAAACAUUUCAUAAUCGAGAGAUGAUUAGCUUGAGGUUGGAGGGUUAUUGUACGUGUAUGAACAAAUUUUUUCAUAUUCAGAAAAAUCAG